UACGAAGGGUGCAAGCGUUACUCGGAAUUACUGGGCGUAAAGCGUGCGUAGGUGGUUUGUUGAGUCUGAUGUGAAAGCCCUGGGCUCAACCUGGGAAUUGCAUUGGAUACUGGCAGGCUAGAGUGCGGUAGAGGGUAGUGGAAUUCCCGGUGUAGCAGUGAAAUGCGUAGAGAUCGGGAGGAACAUCCGUGGCGAAGGCGACUCCCUGGACCAACACUGACACUGAGGCACGAAAGCGUGGGGAGCAAACAGG
rnacentral:rRNA from 1 species